rnacentral:rRNA from 1 species
AUUGAACGCUGGCGGCAGGCUUAACACAUGCAAGUCGAGCGGGGUGAUGGUGCUUGCACUAUCACUUAGCGGCGGACGGGUGAGUAAUGCUUAGGAAUCUGCCUAUUAGUGGGGGACAACAUCUCGAAAGGGAUGCUAAUACCGCAUACGUCCUACGGGAGAAAGCAGGGGAUCACUUGUGACCUUGCGCUAAUAGAUGAGGCUAAGUCGGAUUAGCUAGUUGGUGGGAUAAAGGCCUACCAAGGCAACGAUCUGUAGGGGGUCUGAGAGGAUGAUCCGCCACACUGGGACUGAGACACGGCCCAGACUCCUACGGGAGGCAGCAGUGGGGAAUAUUGGACAAUGGGGGGAACCCUGAUCCAGCCAUGCCGCGUGUGUGAAGAAGGCCUUAUGGUUGUAAAGCACUUUAAGCGAGGAGGAGGCUCUUUUGGUUAAUACCCAAGAUGAGUGGACGUUACUCGCAGAAUAAGCACCGGCUAACUCUGUGCCAGCCGCCGCCGUAA